rnacentral:rRNA from 1 species
GACGAACGCUGGCGGCGUGCUUAACACAUGCAAGUCGAACGGAAAGGCCCUGCUUUUGUGGGGUUCUCGAGUGGCGAAGGCGGGAGUAUCACGUGAGUAACCUGCCCUUGACUUUGGGAUAACUUCAGGAAACUGGGGCUAAUACCGGAUAGGAUCUCCUGCUGCAUGGUGGGGGUUGGAAAGUCUCGGCGGGUGGGGAUGGACGCGCGGCUUAUCAGCUUGUUGGUUGGGUAGUGGCUUACCAAGGCUUUGACGGGUAGCCGGCCUGAGAGGGUGACCGGCGACAUUGGGACUGCGAUAGGGCGCAGACGCGUACGGGAGGCAGCAGUGGGGAAUCUUGCACAAUGGGCGGAAGCCUGAUGCAGCAACGCCGCGUGCGGGAUGACGGCCUUCGGGUUGAAAACAGCUUUCGCCUGUGACGAAGCGUGAGUGACGGUAAUGGGUAAAGAAGCACCGGCUAACUACGUG